AAAAAAAAAAAAAAAAAAAAAAAAAAAAAAAAAAAACCCUCGAUAUGGAGUUUGCUUUCAUUGUGGCAAACUAAGCCACUGGACAAGAAACUUCCCUUGCCUCGGUUCCUGACAGUAUCCUGUCCAAAUUUGGACAAGCAGAAAACAAAAGAAGGUGAUUGCCAAACUUUGCCAAGACAAGGUAGGACAGUCCUUCAAGAUUCCUGUUUCACAGAAAAGUUAUACAUAUAUUCUAGGCCUGGAAGCAGAAUAUGGAUGCCCCAACACUACAGAGGAACCUUAGAAAUUCCUCUUCAAGUCACAGCAAGCCUUUCAAGCAAAAUAUUGAAAGAAAUACAGGGCCUCAGAGUCCUCUCCAGUCAAGCCAGAAUCUCUGGGAUCUCUGUUAUGUUUAUGAAAACAGUGGGCAAGUUCCUGGAAAGUGAUGGAGAAAACCUGCAGAUGGUAGACUUCCCAGAAGUCUGUAAACUGAGCAAAGCUUCCCCUUCUUGUUCAAGGGAUGUAGCUUUUAAUUAAAGUUUGCACCAACUUGAACCUUGCUCUACAGUGGCACUUGCAACCCCAGUUAUUUGUGUAUUUGUUACGCUGUGAUUUCUUCGUCUAGUUUUCUUUGCUUAACUUUUUAAUGUAAUAACCACCAGAGGGCGAAAGAUAUCACACUUCAAAGCAUUUAGAGGGCUGUUUUAGCCAGGAACCCAAUGCUGGUAAGCUUCACAGGGAGUGGAAAGCUAUAAAGCUGAGCAAUGAAGCCUGUGUGUGCUUCCAUAUUAAAAUCAUACCUUU